rnacentral:rRNA from 1 species
GACGAACGCUGGCGGCGUGCUUAACACAUGCAAGUCGAACGGAAAGGCCCUGCUUUUGUGGGGUGCUCGAGUGGCGAACGGGUGAGUAACACGAGAGUAACCUGCCCUUGACUUUGGGAUAACUUCAGGAAACUGGUGCUAAUACCGGAUAGGAGCUCCUGCUGCAUGGUGGGGGUUGGAAUGUUUCGGCGGUUGGGGAUGGACUCGCGGCUUAUCAGCUUGUUGGUGGGGUAGUGGCUUACCAAGGCUUUGACGGGUAGCCGGCCUGAGAGGGUGACCGGCCACAUUGGGACUGAGAUACGGCCCAGACUCCUACGGGAGGCAGCAGUGGGGAAUAUUGCACAAUGGGCGGAAGCCUGAUGCAGCAACGCCGCGUGCGGGAUGACGGCCUUCGGGUUGUAAACCGCUUUCGCCUGUGACGAAGCGUGAGUGACGGUAAUUAGAGAAGAAGCACCGGCUAACUACGUG